rnacentral:rRNA from 1 species
UACGAAGGGGGCUAGCGUUGCUCGGAAUCACUGGGCGUAAAGGGUGCGUAGGCGGGUCUUUUAAGUCAGGGGUGAAAUCCUGGAGCUCAACUCCAGAACUGCCUUUGAUACUGAAGAUCUUGAGUUCGGGAGAGGUGAGUGGGAACUGCGAGUGUAGAGGUGAAAUUCGUAGAUAUUCGCAAGAACACCAGUGGCGAAGGCGGCUCACUGGCCCGAUACUGACGCUGAGGCACGAAAAGCGUGGGGGAGCAAAGCAGG